rnacentral:lncRNA from 1 species
CCCAUCUUCUCCUUCUCCACAAAUUUCAAUUUCCAAUUUCUUCUCCGGUGGACUGAAGGCCGAACGACGGUCCUCACUUCUCUGAAUUGGUGAGUUCUUCACUCUUUGAUUUUCCCCAAUUUGGGUUUCUUAUAAUUUUUUUUCCAAUUCUAGGGCAAGAAAAAACAAUAUCCAAUUUAUCAAAUGAAUGCCCAUAAUAUUGCUAAUCAAAUGAAUUUCCGAAUAAGUUCUUCCCCAUUUGAGUAUUUGUUUUCAACCUGUUACUCUAUUUAGGUUUUUGUGUUUAAUUGCUAGUGAGUAAAUUGAGUUUAGUUAAUUAAUUAUGUAAAACCGUUUGUGGUUUUAAUUGGUUAAUCAAUUACGUAAUUAAUUAAUUAUGUAAAAUUGGUUACUGUCUUUUUUUAUGUUUUUGUGAUUAAUUGUAUAUUUAUAACAAAUUUGGUUUUUUUUUUUGUUUUGAUCAACCUGUGUAUGUAAUAAUACGUUUUACUAUAUUGCUUGUAUUUAUAACCAAGUAAAGCAACAUCUAAUAUAUUUUUAAUAUUUUAUCUUGCAGUGUAUAUGUCGAGUGAAGGUCUACAACAUGCAAAAGGAGAAGAUGAAAAGGAGACUACACAGUUGGAAUUUAAUCCAUUAGAUAUUCAUGAUGAGGUCGAAGAUUUAGAUGACGAAGAUGCUUGUGGUCGAGCUAAGAAGAAAUCUAAAAGACAAGUACCUAUUAGAUCGCAAGUUUGGGAUUAUUACACUAAGUUUAUGUGUGAUGUUGAGAAAGUGCAAAAAGCCCGAUGCAACUAUUGUAGUAGAGUAAUAAGAGCGGAUCCAAACAAACAUGGGACUACGCCUCUUCAAAAUCACAUUUCAGUUUGCAAGAAGAAACCAGGUACUGUUGGAAGUAGCCAAACUCGAAUUUCAAUUCAACAACGUUUAGGAGAGACUGAAACUUCUUUUGUUUCUUGGAAGUUUGAUCAAAAAAAAGCAAGAAAUGCGUUGGUUUUUUGGUUAGUUGUUGAUGAGCUUCCAUUUAAAACAAUUGAGAACCCUGGUUUUAAGUUUCUGAUGUCGGUUAUAUGUCCCAUGUUGCUGGUUCCAUCACGAAGGACUAUAACUAGGGACAUACAUGUCGUGUACAUAGAAGAAUUGGGCAAGUUAAAGACUUUCAUAAAAAAUCACUCUCAAAGAAUAUCCCUCACUACAGACACUUGGACAUGUAUUAAACAGGUGAACUAUAUGUGUCUCACUGUCCACUUCAUUGAUGAUGAAUGGAAAUUGCAAAAGAGAAUUUUAAAUUUUUGUCCUAUUGUUGGACAUAAGAGUGAGGAUGUGGGUAAAGGAGUAGAAAAAUGUUUGCUCCAAUGGGGAUUUGAUAACAUUUUCACAAUCACAGUUGAUAAUGCUUCUUCUAAUAAUGGUGCAAUCACAUACUUGACCAAAAUAUUUGAUCAUUGGGGUACAAAUAUGUUAGGUGGCAAGUAUAUGCACGUAAGAUGCGUUGCACAUAUUGUGAAUCUUAUUGUGCAGGAUGGUUUAAAAAACAAAGAAGAGCAUUUGGCGAUUUCUCGCAUUAGAGGAGCCGUGAGGUAUAUUCGGAACUCUCCAGCUAGGCUCCAAAAAUUUAAGGAAUGUGUUGCUUCGAGAAAACUAGAUUCAAAGAAGUUGUUGUGUUUGGAUGUACCUACUAGGUGGAAUUCCACUUACUUGAUGUUGGAGGCUGCAAUAACUCUCAAAUCGGCUUUUGAUGCUUAUGAUGAUAUCGAUUUUGGUUAUAGCACUGAGUUAUCAAAGGGUGAUGGGGUCCCGUUGAGUUAUGAUUGGGAAAGAGCUACAUUAUUGUCGAAAUUCUUGAGGCACUUUUAUGAUCUUACCGUGCGCAUUUCUGGAUCAUUAUAUGUUACGUCGAACAACAUCUUUAGUGAAAUUUCCGAAGUGGACUUGCUUCUUAAAGAAUGGUCAGAGAGCGAUGAUUUUGAAUUGAAUGCAAUGGGAAAGAGAAUGAAGGAAAAAUUUGUCAGAUAUUGGGGAGGAAUUGAAAAAAUGAACAAGGUUAUGUUUUAUGCAGUGAUUCUUGAUCCACGCCGCAAAAAUGGAUUCCUUAACUUCUCGAUUGAGUCAGUGUACGAUGAUGGGAUUGGUAAUGAAAAAAGUUUGGCAUUAAAAGACCAAGUGAAGCGCGGCUUUGAAGAAUUAUUUGCCAAGUACAAAUUUGAUUAUGCUACAACUACUCAAGCAUGUGGAAUGCCUUCAACUGGUUCAAUCAGUUCUUCUGCUUCCGGUUCUUCUGCUUCUUUGAGUUCAGUUUCAUCCAAAUCAUUGAUAGAAAAAUUCAAUAAAAGCUUUGGUGGGAAGAAAUCUGAAAGUUCGAAGUCGGAGUUGGAUAAGUACAUUAGCGAGGAACUAGAGGAUGAUCAUGAGGAAUUUGAUAUCCUUGCAUGGUGGAAAGUAAAUUCUCACAGGUUUCCUAUACUCUCAAAGAUAGCACGCGAUAUAUUAGCAGUUCCAAUGACCACAGUUGCUUCCGAGUCCGCUUUCAGCGCCGGUGGACGUGUGCUUGAUACAUUCAGGAGCUCUUUGUCUUCUAGAAUGGUCCAAGCUCUUAUUUGUGGUCAAGAUUGGCUUCACCCCCAUUCAAAGCCAAUAAAUUUGGAGGAGGACUUGAAUGAAAUUGAAUUGCUUGAUCAAGGUAAUUUGUAUUAUUUUGAUUCUUUAAUUUGUCCUGUUUAAUUUUUUUUUUUUUUCUGUUACAAGUUAUAUAACUUGUUGUUUUUUUUCUCUCUAUUUUUUGUUUUUGUGUAGAACUAGCACAAUUGGAGGUAGGAUCAUCAAGAACUGAGGAUUGACUUGGUGAUUUGGUAACUUAUUGAAGGGUUGGUUACUUUUUGUCUGUUUUGUUUUGGUUGAUUUUGUGACUGUUGGAUUUGAAUAUUUUGAUUGAUUUUGGUGACUUAUAACUUAUUUAAGGAUGUAAUAUUUUUCUUUUGUUGAUUUUGGACCGUUGAAUAUUUGAAGUUGUCUGGAUUUUGGAAGUUGAACUGAUUUUGUUUUUGUAUUUGAAGUGUAUUUUUGAAUUGUUGUGGUUCUGUGGACUGUGGAGUGUGGAGUGUGAAACUGUUUGGGAAUUAUGAAGUGUGAUUUCAUAUGUAGAUUUGGAUGUAAAAAAAAAAAAAAAAAAAAAAAGAAAAAAAAAUCAGAACAGCAAAACCCGAACCCGA